UGACGUUCUCGGGGCGGGGUGAAAGUCCCCACCGGCGGUAUUUGCGCCCGGUCAUCAGGCCGGGGUGCAUCAGCCCGCGAGCGCCCGCCAGGCCUUUGGGCAUGGCGGGGACAGCAGAUCCGGUGUGAUUCCGGAGCCGACGGUUACAGUCCGGAUGAUAGAGAACGAUG
rnacentral:ncRNA from 2 species